rnacentral:rRNA from 1 species
GACAGAGGGUGCAAACGUUGUUCGGAAUUACUGGGCGUAAGCGCGUGUUAGGCGGCUAAGUAAGUCGGGGCGUGAAAUCCCACGGCUCAACCGUGGAAGUGCACUCGAAACUGCGUAGCUAGAGUCCUGGAGAGGAAGGUGGAAUGCUUGGUGUAGAGGUGAAAUUCGUAGAUAUCAAGCGGAACACCGGUGGCGAAGGACGGCCU